rnacentral:rRNA from 1 species
GUGAGGAAUAUUGCGCAAUGGAGGCAACUCUGACGCAGCCAUGCCGCGUGCAGGAAGAAGGCGCUACGCGUUGUAAACUGCUUUUAACCGGGAAGAAACCCCAGGACGUGUCCUGGGUUGACGGUACCGGAGGAAUAAGCACCGGCUAACUUCGUGCCAGCAGCCGCGGUAAUACGAAGGGUGCAAGCGUUAUCCGGAUUCAUUGGGUUUAAAGGGUGCGUAGGCGGAGCGUUAAGUCAGUGGUGAAAUCCUGCAGCUUAACUGUAGACUUGCCAUUGAUACUGGCGCUCUUGAGUGCGCUUGAAGUGGGCGGAAUGUGCCGUGUAGCGGUGAAAUGCUUAGAUAUGGCACAGAACACCAAUUGCGAAGGCAGCUCACUAAGGCGAUACUGACGCUGAGGCACGAAAGCGUGGGGAUCGAACAGGAUUAGAAACCCUAGUAGCC